rnacentral:rRNA from 1 species
UACGAAGGGUGCAAGCGUUACUCGGAAUUACUGGGCGUAAAGCGUGCGUAGGUGGUUCGUUAAGUCUGAUGUGAAAGCCCUGGGCUCAACCUGGGAAUGGCAUUGGAAACUGGCGACCUAGAGUGCGGUAGAGGGUAGUGGAAUUCCCGGUGUAGCAGUGAAAUGCAUAGAGAUCGGGAGGAACAUCCGUGGCGAAGGCGACUACCUGGACCAGCACUGACACUGAGGCACGAAAGCGUGGGGAGCAAACAGG